UACAGAGGUCUCAAGCGUUGUUCGGAUUCAUUGGGCGUAAAGGGUGCGUAGGUGGCGUCGUAAGUCGGGUGUGAAAUUUCGGAGCUUAACUCCGAAACUGCAUUCGAUACUGCGGUGCUUGAGGACUGGAGAGGAGACUGGAAUUUACGGUGUAGUGGUGAAAUGCGUAGAUAUCGUAAGGAAGACCAGUGGCGAAGGCGGGUCUCUGGACAGUUCCUGACGCUGAGGCACGAAGGUCAGGGGAGCAAACGGG
rnacentral:rRNA from 1 species